UACGGAGGGUGCGAGCGUUGUCCGGAAUCAUUGGGCGUAAAGGGCGCGUAGGUGGCGCGGUAAGCGUGCGGUGAAAGCCUGGGGCUCAACCCCGGGUCGGCCGUGCGAACUGCUGGGCUUGAGCACUGUAGAGGCAGGCGGAAUUCCGGGUGUAGCGGUGGAAUGCGUAGAGAUCCGGAAGAAUACCGGUGGCGAAGGCGGCCUGCUGGGCAGUUGCUGACACUGAGGCGCCGACAGCGUGGGGAGCAAACAGG
rnacentral:rRNA from 1 species